UAAGGAAUAUUGGUCAAUGGACGAAAGUCUGAACCAGCCAUCCCGCGUGCAGGAUGACGGCCCUAUGGGUUGUAAACUGCUUUUAGCAGAGACGAAACGCUGUCAUUUAUGAUGGUCUGACGGUAUCUGCAGAAUAAGCACCGGCUAACUCCGUGCCAGCAGCCGCGGUAAUACGGAGGGUGCAAGCGUUAUCCGGAAUCACUGGGUUUAAAGGGUGCGUAGGCGGAAAAUUAAGUCAGUGGUGAAAGCCUGUCGCUUAACGAUAGAACUGCCAUUGAUACUGAUUUUCUUGAAUUGGGUUGAGGUUAGCGGAAUGUGACAUGUAGCGGUGAAAUGCAUAGAUAUGUCAUGGAACACCAAUUGCGAAGGCAGCUAGCUGGGCCUUGAUUGACGCUGAGGCACGAAAGCGUGGGUAGCGAACAGGAUUAGAUACCCUGGUAGUCCACGCCCUAAACGAUGCUAACUCGAUGUUUGGGCAGUAAGCUUGAGCAUCCAAGGGAAACCGAUAAGUUAGCCACCUGGGGAGUACGACCGCAAGGUUG
rnacentral:rRNA from 1 species